UGGGUAUUACCUGCACAGUUAGACAGAAAGGGUGAGUUUGCGAAAAAUCAAUGUGUAAUUUCCUAAAAAUACAAACAGUUAGAUAUACGGUAUGCAUAAACAGACUGGGCCUGAGCCCAUCACAGAAACAGUAUCAGGUGGGCCUUAGCCCAAUAAUAGAAUUAGGUGGGCCUAAGCCCAAUACAGAAUCAAUACCAGAUGCAGAUAUGUAGACAAAUAUCCAGCCCAGUCCAAUCAAUACACCACCCG
rnacentral:lncRNA from 1 species